UUCUGCACAAGGAGUGUGUUCUAUUUGUUGGUGUAUGCUUGGCCUCAUGUUGGCUGCCAGCCUGGGGAUGGUGCUGCUGGUGAUGCACAGGUAUGGCCGGAGAAGGGAGCAUCUGCUAUAUAUGUUCAAGAGAUGCCUAGCAUUAUUAAUAAUACAAGUAAAAUUAAAUUUGCUUAUCACAAUGAGGGGAAGAAGAAUAAAGUUUAUUAAAUCUCCCCACCAAAAACGCUGACUUACUGAAAAUAACACGUCUUCAUUAAGAAGAAGCUAAUUUGCCAUAAAGAAUUGCUUUACUUAUGUAAAGGGACCAAUUGCUGUAAUUGUGAGCAGCACUCAAAAUGUCUCCCGGAGAAGAGAAGAGCUGCGCCUUCCUGAAUUUUAACUGCACAGGUUCUUGGAGUUGUGCUUUCCCCAAAGUGAAAUGCAAGCUUUAAUCAUCUGGAAAAUUAGAGGAUGGCAUUUGGGGUAUACAGAGAAAUCAGAGGAGAGAUACUGCUAGCUUCCUAGCGAGAGCCCAACCCGCAUAGUAACUGAAAGGGAUGUUUCUCUUGUGGCUUACAGGGUGAACCUACUUAACAACUCACAACUGUUCGGUAUCUCUGGAGGUUAAUUUCGAGAGCAAACAACUUGGAGUCAAGAAAAUCCUCAGCCUAUAAAGGGAGCAUCCACCUUUUAGCAGAGCCUUUAGUGCAAAAGCCUGGGAGAGAUUGAAUGGUGCAGUGACUUCCUGCUUGCUCCUGUUCCUCCGAAGGGGACACAGCACAGCCGAGGAACAUCUACACAGUGGCAAACCGUCUGCGAGCGGCCAGGAUUUAUUGUUUCACCGAUUCCUGGAACUGAAAAUAUUAAUGAUGUAAAAUAUUGAUUUGAGACAACAAACCUCGGAGUUGUUCGGUGAGCCCUCAUUCGGGCGCGACGCUGAGAUGUCCAUCCAUUUUCCACGUUCGUAUUUAUUGGCUGCCUGUGCAAUACGCUCGCUGUGUCUCUUUGAAUCACCUGCUGAAGUUCAGCAUCCAUCACUGGGACUUAGUGGGAAGAUGGCUUUGUGCUCAUUGCAAGGGGAAGAGGUCCUGAAAUAUUCGCCCUGGUGCUGUAGUUCCAUGAUGCGUGGCAGCGCGGUGCUGGUGCAUCCAAGGAGCAGCGUGGAGCCGUUGGGGUGGGAUGGAUACUGUCUGUAUGCAACUUGGCCCUUCUUCCUGGGAACAAAUAGUGCUGGCUGAUGCAAAGAUGAACUAUAACCUCCUGUGCUCCUCAGGUCUCUUGAGCCCGUGUUUCAAUGCAGCCUGCCCCACGGAUUGCUGCUGGCAGCUGGGGCAGUGGAGGGUUUUCCACAGGCGGCUUCUGCAGAGGGGCUGGGAGCUCACGGGCUGCGGGGUGGCUGCCCCUUGGGAUUGCCCAUGUGGGAUCUGAAGCUGGAGACGAGGAUAAUAUCAUUGCUCAAGGCAAGGGGUCACUUCAGUUUGUCAGCUGAGAGAGAAUAUUUGCUCCGUGCUGCGUGUCAGCCGCCAGGGAAGGCUGCAGGUUGGGCUGCCUUGUCACGGGGAGGUGAAAGGUGUGCUUAAGCUCGGAUGCCGGAGGAAAUAAAUGCUCGAGGACCUCUCUGACUGCUCCUUUU
ensembl:lncRNA